rnacentral:lncRNA from 1 species
AAGUAUACUUAAUAAUUUGUUAUAAUUUAGAUGAGGUAGUAAGGAUACUAUAGCUGCUGUGAUGCCUGGGGAGGAAGCAGGAGAGGAGGGUCACAGUUCUGCCAUGCCAGCUGUGGCUGCCUGUUGGCAGAGGAGAGGGGAGGUUUCUAGUGGCCUGAAGCCUUGUCUUGAUCCGAAGAAGUUCUCCUGUCCUAACUUUUUCUGGAGCUUAAAAAGACCUUCUUCUUGUUUCAGAGAUAAGACUGAAACACAUGGAUGCCCAGAUAGCUAGCAGAAUAGCUUCUCAUCACUGAUGUUUGUUUACUUAAUUGUCAAAACAGGGUUUGUAUAUGAAAGUUUGAUAUUAAAGUUAUUGAUACCACUGCUGAUUUUUUUUAGUUUUAAUAUUGAACGUGUUCUUUAGAAAUCCUUCUCUAUCAGUAAAUCUGCUCACAUAGAAGAUUCAUCCAACUUCCUUCCCUCCCUAGGGUUCAUCAUGAAAAAUAUUGUACAGUGCAGAAGCC